GCUGAGCUGAGUCAGUUCGCGUUUGACUAUCGAAUCGGACGGAUCCCGGGGAAUUGUGCGCGCUCGGUUCUCGUCCGUUGUUCGUUCGUGCGUUCUUGCGUCUACCGGUUUUUAAGUUCGCGUAUCGCGUUUCGUGUUCUUACUUGGAUCUGGGGGUCUCAACCAACGAGGAAAAAAAAAUGAACCAACGGCUUGUAUGAAAAAAAAGGAAAAGUAGAGUUGGAGACACCUUUUACCUGGAGUGAUUUUUUGCUGUUAUUUUGUGCGUCAAGUCCUCAGGUGGAUUCUCUUCUUUGUUCGGAGGAGUUUUUGGAGCUUUGUGAUUGAAAAGUAACAGAAAGGGGAAACGAAAUAUGGUUCUAAGCGUAUGAUGAGCACUUGAAGUGAUUAAUGAAGGGUUCUGUUUAAUGCAAUUUUUUUGUCGAGUGAAUCGCUCUUCGGAGAUUGUUUCGAUAGUUUGGAGCACGGAUUAAUCUGGAUGGUGCUACAGUGUUAAGUUUGUGAUUUAGAAAACCUUCGUUGGCAGUGCAAAAAGUAAAAAGAUCGUAGUUCCUUUCCCGCGAAGGUGAACUAAUGCGUUUGAAAGCAUUGCCUAAGGGUCGUCUGGUCGUUCGUGAAGGCGAGAAAAAACAACAAGGUCUAGCGCAGUGUCGCGCACGUUAAGAGGAUUGUUGGAGCCACGCGUGGUCUUCGGAAGAUCUUGCGCGUCCAGUUGAAAGUGAGAAAAGUAGGUCUCCGGAUCGGUGACCGCGCUAAUGCUAAGCUGAGAGCUGGAUGCAGUCAGCUGGAACAUUCAGUUUUUUUUCCUUCUGCCACUUCUUCUUGUGGCACCUUCUUGGUUCGGAGCGUGUUUUUAUUCGUCUCGUUUUUUGACCUGGGUGUGAUCUGAAGCUGAUGCUGGUGGUGAUUCAUGGUCUCUUACCUCCGGGAGGUCGUUUCGAGAUAAAUCAUUAUCGUUUCUGUCACGUUUCACGCAAAUCUUCAGCGGAACGAAGAGUUUUCUGUUUCUAUGGUUCAUGAAUGUUGGUACUGGAAUCGUUACAGUGUUUGUCGUUGUUUGUGUUCCGAUGCCGAAGUGAUGUGAUUAAACGAUUCAGUGGUGGGUUUAACGAUAGUGGGCUCUCGAGUGAAUUCGUAUGUGAUAAUUGAGUGUGUAAAAUUUCCGAUUCCGAUUAGGCUGCGAAGCGAUAUGAAUUGUUUUAAGCGGAAGGGCAGCACAUGAGAAUUGCAAUAUGUUAACGAGCAGAAAGCCGGGACCUCCGGUUCCCCCGAGGCCAAGUGCAGCUGCAGUGGCCACUGCAUUGGCCAAACAUCGUGAGAAUCAUCCUCCAACACAAAAUGGAAUUCACACGCUGAAGCCGCCACAUCCUGGACGAACGGUAGUUUACAAGUCGCCAGGCUACGAUCAGCCGCCGAAGAAACCGCAAUCUGUCGUUUUGAACGGAAGCGGCAGCUAUAAUGGAAGUGACCUUGCUCAUCAUACUUUCAAGAACGAUUCCGACCAUUCGUUUGGGAAGACUGAAGUGUACGUUGGGGAGCCCAACAGUGGGGGGUAUCUUGUGCCGCGACCUGUUCUCCCAGUUGCCAAUCGUAACACCGUCAAGAACAACAGCAGCACCAAUUUGGAAAAAACCAAACUGAUAUACACCUCGACGUGCAGUAUAAUUGAGAUAAACUCUUCCUCGUCGGCUUCAACUUCGGCCUCAACAUCGCCAAUGUCAACGCUGCAAAAAACUGAAUCAAAGACCAAUCUCAACAGUUCUAGCAGUUUCAGCAGCGGUCGGAGUAGUGCCAAUGACAGCAAUCAUCUCAAUUCCGCCGACGAGGAAGACACAGUCUCCAGUCACAAAUUGAAGCUGAGCAAUUCCUUCAACAAUCGGCCACUCAACCGCUCAGAACGUGGUUCAACCAUUAAGCUCAACUCGCCGGAAGUGAUCGUAAUCAACGGAGGAAACCCUUUGGAGUACCACGAUAGUGGCACCGAACAAAACUCCAUCGACACUAACAGCAUCGCCAGCAGUAACUCCCUUGAGCGGGAAAACAAUUUCAAAAACCGGGAUAUGCCAAGAAAACCUCAUCUUACGGAAAUUUUCAUCGGAUCCAACGACGAAACGGUAGUCUCAAAUGGCGGAAUUAAAACCAUCAUCGAAGCUCGCAAUGACAUCCUCCUCAAAACUCCCAUCCACCUACCGUACGAUCCUCCAAAACCAGUUCUUAGAACAUCUUCCAUUCGACUUCCUUACCGUCCGGAACCGGAAGGUGGAGAACAUACCACCCCUAUCCAAAUUGACUCAAAACCCUCAACCAAAAUUCCGGAUUUGAACAACUGCUCAAAACUAUCAGCCCAAAAGAAGUUGGACUUUCACGAGCUCCUCAUAUCGGAACUUGCUCAAAUGCGAGGCAAGCGUCAGGCGGUGGCGGCGCCGGAAGUGUCUCGCUCCCCCACAGGAAGUUCCCCCAGUGGGACGGUACCGAGGGCGUCGCCCCGAAUCCGGACCUCCGAUUGGAUAGAGGUGGGGGACAAUGGGAAACAGGUGGUGCUUUCGAGUUGCCAGAUUAGUCUGGAGGAUUCCGGCAUGGAGGAUGAGGGUGGUGGUAAACACGAGGACGAAGACGGAGAGGACGAUCUGUCCUCGGGCGUGGGGGACUCCUGGAACAGCGUUAAGGAUGAUGACGAACGCAUCACGAUGUCCCUGCCGGGACUGCCCCCAUUGCCGAAAAGUCUCAGCGGAUUUGACCUAGCCGGUCAGCAACUUCAAUCGCAUCAACAACACUACUAUAACCUGCAGCCACCGUCAGCAUCAUCCCAUGCUCAGCAGCAAGAACAUCAGUCACAAGAGCAUUCAGCUCAUCAUCAGCACCAUCAACCUCCCUCAUCGGCAUCCUCAUCGCUGCACCCACAUCCACCUCAUCAACCUCCACCUCCGCCACCCACGCAACAACAGUCACAGUCACAGUACAACAACCAUCAGCAGCAGCCAUCUUUCAACCACCACCCGACAAAUCCGUUCAUCCCGAUCAAUCCGGCCAAUGCCGCGGCCACAGUAGCGAAUUUGCAAAGUGUCAGCAUGGCGUCCCUGGUUUCACAGCAACAACAGAGGGGCCAAUCGCCCGUGAGCACCGUCAGCAGCAGCGGCAACAGUAUCGUCGCGACGCCCAACAGCGGAAACAGCGGAAGUGGCGGCAGCGGCGGAAGUGGAAGUGCCGUCGUCGCCCGGAAAGCCACCACGACCCUGGACACCCAGCUGGCCGUGUUGCGGAGAGAAAUGAGACCAAAAAACAACCAAAGUGAGCGGAUUACCGACGUUCCGCUAAGCGAUACAAUGUUAGGUGGUGAGAGAGGGGCUAUGCAAACGUAGUGGUAAAGUUUUUUUUUCGUAACCAUGUCAACGGGUGACGUCACUACUGACUCAAGCAAACGACGAAGUCGGCUGCUGGUGGUAACAAAACAAACAUUCGACAAAUGAGAAAACUUUUUAAUUUCAUUCAGCUCGGUUUUGAAAGUUCCGUACAAAUAUCGGAGUUUACAUUCAGAUAAUCCGGAAGAGAAACGCAGUAUUCUCUUUGGAGCCCUUGACGAGCAGGGAACUGGGAUGGAAUUCCUGAAACCCGUUCCUACCAGAUGUGUCUCAAGCCAUCCGAACUCUCAGCAAUACGAUGUGGCCCGCGGCGAAGCUGCGUUGUACAAAAGAUAGGCCGAAUUCGUGAAAUCCGCUUCACUUAUUUUCUGGAAAGUCUCACAACAGGCGGGUCUUAUUGAAGCUUUUAACUGCGCUUCCAAUAUCGACAUCCAAACUCUAAGUUUGCGAAUAACUAGCAUCGAUAAAAAUAAAAAUCAUGUUUUUUGUUAUCAAAACCUAGGCCGCCAGUUGGUUAUCGAAGCAAUAACGAUGGAGACGAAAAGUUCAAUUUGGCAGGUUUCCAGUUUGACAAUUUCGAUGAGCAUGAUCGGCUGGGAAAUGUUGUUUGGGAUGAAGAAUUCAAUCAACAUCUUUCUUCUUCAUCAAGGGUGGGUACUUCAUCUCUAUUGGCUGAAUUUAUCUGCGCCGAUCGAGACAUCACAGCCUAGGAAAAACGAAAAGAUUCCGACGGAAAUUACGACGAAUGGUAUCGAUCCCCGUGAGCCAAGUCGACGUCAAAAUGUUGCAUGAAGCAAUCACGAUAGUUCUGUAGAUCACGAAGAUGAGUAUCAUUCAGAUGACAAGGAUCUCAAGCCUGCUAGCGCACCAAUUGGCGGAGCAGAUGGCUAGGAUCCAGCAUUAGAAAAACUCUAAUUUCAAUUAAUUGGACGGAGUUGUCAUCGAAAAAAGUCGACGUUGAUGUUGCUAGUUUACAGAUAUCUGAAUGGAUAAAGUUCUUCGUUUUUUUAAGAUUAUUUGGUGCUGAUAAAAUUUUCAGCUUACCUCAAAUCUGGCGAAUUUUUCGUCGUAUUCGAAGAAACAAUGAGUUAAAAAUGUGGAUCAGCUCAAGCUGGUGAGCUUUGUGCCUCGGAAUAAAUAUUUUUUCAACGGUUCCGAUCCCCAAAUUCUGAUAAACAGAAGACAUAUUGACCGUACUGAAUUGAGUCAGCCCACCAGGAGUGAAAGAACGCGAGACAAAUACACUUUAGAAUUUGAUUGAUGCUGUAAACAAAAUCCUGAAUUUUAUAAGUAAAAUCAACUGGAAACAAAGCUUAUAUUUUCGGUACGCGAAAAAGAAAUUUUAGGGAAUUUUCAUAAUCCUAGAAAUCCUAGAUUAAAAGUAGCUGCUCUGUU